UUUCGGUCUUCCUCUUUAAGCGUCCAACUUUUUCUAUUCUCAAAGUAUCCCCGUUCACCCGUACUACCGGCACGAAGCUCUCCGAAGGUCCCCGUCACGCACCUCCUCUCCUCGCUGGACUCGGCUCUCUCUCUCUCCCUUCCUUCCUUUGUGGUCCUUGGAGGGAGGAGGAAGGAGAGGGAAGGCGGAGGAGGAGGAGUAGGAGGGGGCGCGUAGGAGCCCGGGGAGGCCGGCCGCUGCGCCCUGCGCCGUACCGGUGGCCGCCGCUGUUGCCCACGCCGGCGCCCCUCGGCCGCCGCGGGCCGCCGCCGCUGGACAUGCGGCACGACCCCGAGUCGUUCCUCACGAGGCUGCGGCUGGAGUUCGAGCGGAUGGCCUUCGAGCGGUACUCUACCGUAGGCCUGUCUACGAGCAGGAGGCCGCCGUGGUUCGUGUACCUCCUCCGGUUCCUCUUCAAGGUCCUCUAGGUCCCGCGGAUAAGGCAGGAGAGGCUACGGUUGUUCGCCAAGGAGAUGCUGCACCCCCACAUGGUCCUUCUUCUUCUGUCGCUGCUGUCAUACGUCCCCUACCCCCUGAAGGAACCACUCUACCGGGUAUACUACUCGGUCCGCGCCGGUCGCUCCGUCCUCUCGAAACUCCUCGACGUCGUCGACAAACACCUGUACAAGGUCAGACUAUAACUGAGUCCUAAAACGUUACCUGGACGGUUCCCGGUAGUACUGGGCAAGGUUUGUAAGAGCUGGAGGGGAAGGAGCAGCGGUAGAGGUGGUGGAGGCGAUCGAUGUCUCCGUCUUCGUCGGAGUACAUUGCCGUAAUUGUUCGCACCGAGUAGUCGUUACCCGAGACCCUUCGGAGGUUCUCGACCCCUUCGCCCACGCCCAAUGUCGGUCGGACUCAAAACAAAACCCUGCUCGCUGCGGUUCGUUCGCGGCUUCCGCGCUCCGCCCUUGUGGUCGUCCUCUGCCUUGCCCGUUUUCGUCUUCGACAGCAGCUUCGUGCUGCAGAGCAGACUCCUACUCUACGACUCGGGCGUCGUCGGGUCUCAUCAUACUGGGAGCUAUGUUGGUGGACCGGGGAACAGUGGAAUACAGGACUGGUACAGGAACCAGUGGGUCAUAGUCACGUCGGUCGUUCAUCUCGCGGUCGCGGCCAUCGACAAUGUUCCUCCCCCCCCAACGAAGCAGCUUCCGAUACAUCCGGGGGGAAUCUUCCAAACAUUCUCUUGGAUCGCACAUUCUGAGCAGCUACAAACGGCGCAAGAAGAAAGAGCCAAACACGGCGAUACAACAACAACAACAACAACAUUCGUAACCUAAGAGCUAACUAAGUCACAAGUAACAACAAUACUACCUUCUUCAUCCGAGGAACAACACCAUUCCAGUCCCCAUAAACUGGUUUGAUACUUACCGUACCGUGAGUUUCUCGUUUACAGAAUCGUA
rnacentral:rRNA from 1 species